AUCCAUAGCAACCAGAGAUCUGGAGAACUUUAUAAUCAGAAGCCUGGCCUCCAAGGGGUUCUCUGAUGGACAAUCACUGACUUUCUGGGGGAAAAAAUCAGAGUGUUCACAGAAGCAAGCCUGUAGAAGAAGGAGAAGAAGAAGGAAGGAUACAGGAUGAGAAUCAGAGGAUGAAAAAGAACAGAUAGGGCCCCAGAGAGGAGAGAUGGAAGCACACAGACGGAGAGAAGUUGAAAGACAGAGAGAAAGAAGUGGGAUGAGAGCCUGGAAUAAAGGCAACUCAGGCCCAAAGAGAGGAAGUGCCUAACCCCAGGCCACAGAGCGAGUUAACUAGUGAUGGACCCACAUUUAGCUCAUCCUUAUUUGGUUAAGUCCACACAGCCAGAUGCUCCCGACAGACCUGCAGCUGCCUGCAGAUGGCCAUCGUACCCCGGCCUCCCCAUUUGCCAGCUGUUCUCUCAGUUGCCUCAGCCCUUCCAUCUCCACUGAACAGGGUUCACAGCCCUUGCCCGCCAGGCACCCUUAUCUGAAGAGCUCCAAGCUGGGGUGGGUUUGGUCUUCUCCUGACCUCCGUCGGCUUCCUGGGGCCUGGAACAUCCUGAAGCUAGAACAAAACAGCUAAAGGCAGAAAAGGAGGCAAAUACUCGUUCAGUCAGAAGACAGGAAGACUAGCAGGAGGCUGACUCUGGGAGUAAGACUCACUGGCUUUAGAUUGGUGUUUCUUCCUGAGGCUGGGUCACACCAGGAAACCUUUGAUCCCUCCCUUCCCCUCCUCCCCAGAACCUGGAGCUUCUGUCUCCCACAGCCAGCGGUGGAACCAGCGGUGGCUGAGUAACUGACAAACUGCAGGAGAGCCUCCAAGAAGAAGUGGAGAGAGGAGAAAAAGAGAGAGGACAGUUGAACAUUCUUCAGGAUCCAUAUGAGUGUGAGCACAUAUCCUCAUGUGCUGGCAUUUGACUGACUGACAGGUUAUGGAGGCCCAAUCUCUCUUUGGCGAUAAAGUGACAGAGGUCAGACCCGGAUAUAAUCUGCCGAGUUGAUUCCUAUAGGAGCAAGAGGAGACAAUCCCCUCCCUCCCUCUUUAGAACCCCAUACUUCUGUGAAUGCAACCUAAGGUCACACUGGCUUUUUAGUAGCUGCGUGAUCCUGUUGACUCAUUUUGCACUUAAUGUUGAAUAAAAAACUGUAAGAUA